ACGUUAUAAGUAUUGCCAAAUCAUAAAAUAAUUAGCAAUGCUUAUUUAAACAUAUGACCACACUUUUAAGUGUCCUAUAUUUGUAACUCUAAAAACAACACUUUACAAGUGUGCCUUAUUAAUUCUCAUAAAAUUAUAGCAAAAAUAAUAACCCCCCCAUAUAUCUAUUCCCCCGCCCCCCUAAUUUCUAAAAAACAAGAGUAUUGCCUUUUUUCCCUUUCAUUCUUAAGGAUUUCUCAUUGUACCUCUCAACUCUUUAGCAAAUUUCAUCGCGCAUCUGAAGGGUCCCUCCAAUGAAAUCACUACUUUUGGUUUCUGUUUUGUCCCUGAUAAAGCACGGAUUUUGAUUUGUCGAUUUUCAAAAUUGUUGUUGGCGCUCUCUUUGAAAGCAUAGUGCGUAUCACUCUGGUUUUUCAUGAACCGUGGUGUUUAUAUCCUUGUGUCGGUUUCUUCUUAUGCAUAUGUUACUGAGCCAUUGUUGAUGCAUAUAUUACUGACCCAUUGUUGAUUGAAGUUGACCAAAUUUAUCACCUCGCUUGCGCUGCUUUCUUUAUUAUUUACAGUAUAAUAUUGUUAAGACAAUUAAGACAAACAUAAUUGGAAUGCAACUUGCCAAGGGAACUAGAGCAAGGGUUGAAAGCAGUGGUGGCUAUUCUAAAGGUUUAGCCUCAACUUGACAUUUCCAAAUGGAAGAAGUAUCCCACAAUAAAAUCUCGUUUGCAUGUUUACAUGGAUCCAAGUAAAUUGGUGCUUGAUAAAGAAUUUGUGCCGAAAGAUUUGAAAGUGCAAGGGAUGUUGGCAGAUGAUAGAAGAUUGGGAGAGAUUGUUCAAAGAGAGUUUACAGAAAAUUGAUGGCUCAAUCUGGAAGCAGCAAGAUUUAUGACACCGAGUGUGGAGCUGAUUUCUUCCAUCAACAUUUUGCUGAAUGAUCUAUAAGCUUAUGCAUGACUAAUUUGCGCACACUUCAACUAAAUCAUUGGACAGCUUGUCCGGCCCACUUGCCUGUUAUAUCCUGUACUUUCGCACCUUGGGACAUUGUCUUAAGUCUCUUGAAAGGUGCCAUGUGAUCUAGAUUAUCUACCACGCUAUCAAAUAACUCUAAGGAAAGAAGAAUGAGAUACCCCAUAAUAGGGAAGAUUGAAAAUAGAAUUAUAAGAAUCCGGAAGGAGUUGGAGGCCAAGUAAUGAGUCGUAGGACUCGACUUACUCGCAUAAGCUACCAACUUGGAUGUAUUACCUAUUUAAGCUACUUGAGUACACGCCGAGCUUAUGUAGGAAGGAUUACACGGGUUCUUAGACUAAGAUGAGAUUACGAACCUACGAAAGGGGAGAAGAGGACACGUGGCAGCAAGAAGGAGUGCCACGUGGAAGCAAGAGGAAGUGACACUUGGAAGCAGGUGAUGCACCUACUUGGGGUCGAGUAGGUGACCCACUUGCUUGGAGUGGACCCCACCUGCCAUGGGGUAGCCCAAGAGAGAACGCAUGGAUGCGCUGGCCCAAUGAGGGCUGGAUACGUGUCACCCUAAGGGGAUGACACGUGUCAUAUUUUAAGGGAGUGUAUGUAUAGGUCUUUUGAUGACUAACAAGUCAUUUCUUCAAGUUUAGACUUAGCCAUAAUUGGAGAAACUAAGAGAUUAAAAGAGAGGAGCUACGACAGCCAAGGAUCAAAGGCAAGCCCUCCAAUUUCAUUCCGUAAAUUAAUUAUCUAUGGUGUACUAUGAUGAAAGGAAGGUGUUAAUAACGUAAAUUUACUGUUUGGAGCAGAACCAAAAGGGUAAUGAACAACCACUACAUUUUCAGCCACGUCAAGGAACUUUCGAGGCGAGUUUUGGCGGGUUUUGGCAAGGUAAGGUUCUCCCUUUCGAGUUGGAGUUAAUGAUAUUGUUAUGGAGUAUAUUAAAUAUGUUAAAUGAAGCUUGAAGUAGGAAAAUUGCAUAAGUAUACUUGACGUGAGAAAGAAACUAAAUUGAAGUCAUUUUAGCUAAAUCGAAGUUGAGUAGUGUGUUAUGGUUGUGGUGCUGCGGUUGGAGAUGAUUUGGUUACGUGUUGCAGGGCUGGAAAGUAUUUCAAAAGGGGUGUGGGUGCUUCUGGUUUCAGCCACACAACCCUCCAUUACGUGUGGUCAAAGGUUUUAUGAAAUAAAGACUAAAAACCUUAUUUUGGUAUCGUGAUUUUGGGCGAAUCGUUGGAAACUUGUAUUGGGUAAUAUUGUAGUGAUUUGGUUGUACAUAGAUGCUGGUUAUUGUUGGUAAUAUGGAUGCUAAGGUUAGAGGUUAAAUCGGAAAUUUGGAUAGGGCAAGUUAUAGAGGAGACGCUGUCCGAUUUCUGUUAACUUCGGAACUAGUCAAUAGACUAGUCAAGAAGGACGAGCAAGGAAAUAGUUCCUAUAAAUACAUGAAUAUUAAUGUAGUAACUGGAAAGUGAAGGUCAUUAAUAUUAGUAUUACUUUCAUGAUUAAUAAGUUAAGGAGGUAAUGAGGCGAGCUGGAUUACAGUUAAUCCAUAAGAGGUACAGACAUGCGACUCGAGGAUCUGCAAGCAUAGGGUUCCACCCAGUGAGUUUGAGAAGAGAUCCAUUGUAUCGGAGCCCAACUUUUGGUACUGAACCUUGAUGUAUAUAUUUGUUUGUUCAGGGGUAUGGAGGGGGCCUGUCCUUCCAUAUGUCAUUGUUACUAUCCUUAGAGGUCUGUAGACAUACAUGUGGGUUGUAUAUACAUGUGUGUGAGUUAUGUAUCUAUGUAUUCUAUUCAGUUGUGCCAAUAUGUAAGCAUACAAUAGGUCUAGGGUAUACGCGAGUGUCCGACUUGGGCACCCAUCAUGGCCUAUGGGGUUGGGUUGUGACAUUGCCCAUGUAUCAAAGAUAAUGCUCUCUACCAAGACAAGUGCAGAUUGACUCAUACCAAUUUUUGUAGUUCAGAUUUGGACCCGGGACCUUGGAUAUCUAGUGUUUGACUAGUAUGCUAUACUAUAUUAUUUUCUCUAAGUUGGUAGUACAAAAAUCAUGUUUGAUCAUACUAUUGAAAUCAUAUUUACCCCUAAAAUACUAAAUGUCUAGAU